CUCCUUGUGAAUCGCGCGCCGAAGCCUUAUUUCCAGAGGUGCUGGGUAACCGGCUAUGUCGGUAGACUGUUGAGUGGAAUAAGCAUUUCGGACCCGGGGGGCAGUACCCCGGCGCCUCCACCACCAGCCGCCUUGGCCCGGAUUUUCGGGGCGCUCGGUUGCUGAUGGGGGCGAAAUAGGAUCGACGGGUGCGAUAAAGGCUCGAUUGCCGAUCGGUAGGAGACCACCGUGACGGCUCGUACACACAAGUGCCAACGAUAAUCAGGCUCUUGCUAUUGCUGCGUAACUGACGGCCUAACGGUCACAAGUUACAAUGACAAAAGCGCGGUCGGACCCCACCGGGCAACAGAAGGGGAAUCCA
rnacentral:tmRNA from 1 species